AUUGAACGCUAACGGCAUGCUUAACACAUGCAAGUCGAACGGCAGCACGGUAGUAGCAAUACUAUGGGUGGCGAGUGGCGGACGGGUGAGUAAUGUAUAGGAAUCUGCCUUGUAGUGGGGGAUAACCUGGGGAAACUCGGGCUGAUACCGCAUAACCUCUACGGAGUAAAGCGGGGGACCGUAAGGCCUCGCGCUAUAAGAUGAGCCUAUAUUGGAUUAGCUAGUUGGUAGGGUAAAGGCCUACCAAGGCAACGAUCCAUAGCUGGUCUGUGAGGAUGAUCAGCCACACUGGGACUGAGACACGGCCCAGACUCCUACGGGAGGCAGCAGUGGGGAAUAUUGGACAAUGGGGGAAACCCUGAUCCAGCAAUGCCGUGUGUGUGAAGAAGGCCUUCGGGUUGUAAAGCACUUUUAGUGGGAAAGAAAAGUUCAAAAUUAAUAAUUUUGAGCCCUGACGUUACCCACAGAAAAAGCACUGGCUAACUCUGUGCCAGCAGCCGCCGUAA
rnacentral:rRNA from 1 species